rnacentral:tRNA from 1 species
GUAGAUUGAAGCCCGCUGGAUAGGGUGUUUAGUUGUUAACUAGAUUUAUUACGGGAUCGAGGCCCGUCGGUCUAG